rnacentral:rRNA from 1 species
UACGAAGGGGGCUAGCGUUGCUCGGAAUCACUGGGCGUAAAGGGUGCGUAGGCGGGUUUUUAAGUCAGGGGUGAAAUCCUGGAGCUCAACUCCAGAACUGCCUUUGAUACUGGUGAGCUUGAGUCCGGAAGAGGUGAGUGGAACUGCGAGUGUAGAGGUGAAAUUCGUAGAUAUUCGCAAGAACACCAGAGGCGAAGGCGGCUCACUGGUCCGGUACUGACGCUGAGGUGCGAAAGCGUGGGGAGCAAACAGG